GAAGGUAUAUAUUUUUCGAAGAUAACAUUCAUUCGAUAGGAAUUAGUAAUACAGGACCAGCUACAGUGACAAAAACCAGAAGGCCAAAAUGAGGCCCAGCCAACUCUAGCCCUAAAAACAUCGAAGUCCAUGGGUUCACCAACAUGAGGAAACCCUACAGCUGGAAGAAAAUGAUGCAGAGAUUAGCCAGAACUGCUCCUUCGCCGCUGUCUUCUGUGGUGAAAAAUGGAUCUUCACCAAAAACAUCAAGCCCUUCUUCCAUCAUAAGGCUUAGACUUCAAAUACCCUGUGAGAUAGAAUCAUCACCGCUAGCUUCGGAGCGUGGCAUGCACGACAGAGCUCACAGCAUCUCACUCUCAUAUAGUCUUAGGGGUCGGCCGCCAUUGGUCAGCUGGCACUUGGACCCAAAGGUGCUACGGAAGAGGCUUCCACAUAACCUUAGAUAUUUAUUUCCUUGAAUGGAAUAUAGGUUUGAUAUGAUUGAGUUUGAUCAUAAUUUUUUCCGCGGG
rnacentral:misc_RNA from 1 species